rnacentral:rRNA from 1 species
UACGUAGGGUCCGAGCGUUGUCCGGAAUUAUUGGGCGUAAAGGGCUCGUAGGCGGUUUGUUGCGUCGGGAGUGAAAACUUCGAGCUUAACUCGGAGCUUGCUUUCGAUACGGGCAGACUUGAGGCAUUCAGGGGAGAACGGAAUUUCUGGUGUAGCGGUGAAAUGCGCAGAUAUCAGAAGGAACACCGGUGGCGAAGGCGGUUCUCUGGGAAUGUUCUGACGCUGAGGAGCGAAAGUGUGGGGAGCGAACAGG